GAACGAACUGCUCUCGGCCGAAGUGGGAAAGCAUGAUUCGAUUAGUAUAGAUUCUGGAAUCGGCUCGAAAGAGGAUGACUCCGUUUCGCAGCUUCCUAUGCAGCCAGAGGUGGCCACGUGACUCAGCUCUGACCAAUGAAGUACAGGAUUCUGGGAACUGCAGAAACCAUCUUUCAAUCAUAAGGUGACAAGCACAAAGAAGAAACCAGCCCAGUAAGAAUGACAGAGA